rnacentral:lncRNA from 1 species
UGGCUCUAAGUACAAAAGCCAACUAUAGAAUAAUUCUUUAUUUCAACUAAUUACAAGUGACAUCUCACCUUCUCCUUUGAGCAUAGCAACCCUUUACUUUUCAUAAUAUUCACACACAAUCACCCCCUUGGUAUCCCCAUACACACAAUCCUCAACACCAUGCUUGCCCAUUCAUUCAAACCCCACACUCAUUACCCUCUUGAAGCAACCACAAACAAAAUGACCCACACCCCCAUUCAUCCAAACAAAAGCACCACACACAGCUAC